UCAUCUCAGUUCGGAUUGCAGGCUGAAACUCGCCUGUAUGAAGAUGGAGUUGCUGGUAAUCGCGAAUCAGAAUGUCGCGGUGAAUACGUUCCCGGGUCUUGUACACACCGCCCGUCACACCAUGAGAGUUGGCAACACCCGAAGCCGGUGACCCAACCGAAAGGAGGGAGCCGUCGAAGGUGGGGCCGAUAACUGGGGUGAAGUCGUAACAAGGUAUC
rnacentral:rRNA from 1 species